rnacentral:miRNA from 1 species
AGCAGCCAGACAGGUUGG